UUACCAACUGGUUCUACUGUAUGC
rnacentral:siRNA from 1 species